rnacentral:rRNA from 1 species
GAUGAACGCUGGCGGCGUGCCUAAUACAUGCAAGUCGAGCGAACGGACGAGAAGCUUGCUUCUCUGAUGUUAGCGGCGGACGGGUGAGUAACACGUGGAUAACCUACCUAUAAGACUGGGAUAACUUCGGGAAACCGGAGCUAAUACCGGAUAAUAUUUUGAACCGCAUGGUUCAAAAGUGAAAGACGGUCUUGCUGUCACUUAUAGAUGGAUCCGCGCUGCAUUAGCUAGUUGGUAAGGUAACGGCUUACCAGGGCAACGAUGCAUAGCCGACCUGAGAGGGUGAUCGGCCACACUGGAACUGAGACACGGUCCAGACUCCUACGGGAGGCAGCAGUAGGGAAUCUUCCGCAAUGGGCGAAAGCCUGACGGAGCAACGCCGCGUGAGUGAUGAAGGUCUUCGGAUCGUAAAACUCUGUUAUUAGGGAAGAACAUAUGUGUAAGUAACUGUGCACAUCUUGACGGUACCUAAUCAGAAAGCCACGGCUAACUAUGUG